UUGUCUUUGUGUGAGCUUCUGCAGGUCCCUUUCAGCAUUGAAGAUCCAGAUUACAAGGGGCUUGAGCUGGAUGUGAUGUCUCCAUGUGAGAAGGACGGCAUGGCAUCUGAGAGGCUUGUUGCCUUUGAAGGAACAGACACAGGCAGGCGGUUUUUAGCAUGUGCACAGCCGGCAGGUAGCAAUUGUGGCUUUGUUGAAUGGGUUGAUCACCAGUGGAAUGCAUUGUUGAAGCUAUGGGCAAUGGUUGAAGAUGCCAAAACUGCUAGGGUGAAUGACAAUCUUGAAAGUUCUUUCACUAUCCACCAUCUGACAGAAGAGAAGAACAAGCUGGAUGCCAACUAUGACAAGCUAGUCCAAGAUGUGCAUGAGCUGAUGAACUUCCAGGAAGAUAAGGUGGUGGAUUUCAGACAUCUGCAGUCUGCCAUUACAUAUCAGCAGGAGGUAAGAAAAGAACUGAUUGAUGAUAUGAAGGCACAGAUGGCAAGUGAGAUGGCAAAGAAAGAUGAAGAGACCCAGAAACUUACUCUCAAGUAUGAGCUGCUGCUCAACCUGACAAGAGCUCAAGCAACAGUCAUUCAGAACUUGAAGCUGAACAAAAUGAAAGAGAAGCAAGUGCUUACUGAAGCUAGUAUGAAUUUGGAGCUGAAGAAUGCAGAGCUAACAAAGUGUCAGGAGAAGCUCACCCAAGAGAAGCUAGAGUUGAAGCUUGAGGUUGCUGAUCUGCUUAAGGGAAAUGAAAAGCAUAUUGAAGAGAAGUGGCAGUUAGAGUUUCAGAAUGAAAAGUUGAAGGAGAAGUUCAGGGGGAUUCAGGCCAUCUUGGAGAAGUGA
rnacentral:rRNA from 1 species